GCAUGGGAUAGCCUUUCUAAAUGGUUUAUUGGGCAAUUUUAUUUUACCAAGACUAUCGCAGCCAUGCAAAAAAAGCAACGGAUUUGCCGUUGCUUUUUUUUGCA
rnacentral:sRNA from 1 species